CAUAACCGCAUCAGGUCUCCAA
rnacentral:siRNA from 1 species